UGUUCAGUGGUGAAGUUGGUUAACGCGCCCUGUCUAGCGAAUUCGGAAGACGUGAGUUCAAAUCCCACCAGAACUA
rnacentral:tRNA from 1 species